GGAAGGAUUGUUCAGUCAGCAAAGUAUGGGACUCUUAAUCUCAAGGUUGUGGGUUUGAGCCCCACAUUGGGCAAAAAGAUUCCU
rnacentral:tRNA from 1 species